rnacentral:rRNA from 1 species
AUACGGAGGGUGCAAGCGUUAUUCGGAAUCACUGGGCGUAAAGGGUGCGUAGGCGGUUUGAUAAGUCUGAUGUGAAAUCCUAUGGCUCAACCAUAGAACCGCAUUGGAAACUGUCAGACUAGAAUACUGAAGGGGCAGAUGGGAUUAGUGGUGUAGGGGUAAAAUCCGUAGAUAUCACUAGGAAUACCGAAAGCGAAAGCGAUCUGCUGGGAAGUUAUUGACGCUGAGGCACGAAAGCGUGGGGAGCAAACGGGAUUAGAAACCCUUGUAGUCC